CCAAAAGAAGAAGAAGAAAUAAGAAAUUAUGUUAAUAAUGUUAAUUUAAGUUAUAAAAAUAUUAGAACUUUAAAACCUAAAAAAGUAAGAAGAACUCGAAAAAAUAAACUUAAACAUGGUAAAAACGAUAUAAAUCCAUUUACAAAUAAUCAGGAAUAUAUUUAUGACUAUAGUAAUAAUAAUUCGCUUUUUCCUUUCACUUUUUAUAAUAAUUAUGAUAAUGAUUAUAAUGAUAGGAGUAAUUAUAAUCAUAACAAUAGUAACGAUAUCGAUAGUUAUGAUAGCCAUAAUAAUAAUGUAAAAUAUAACAUCGAAAUGAUUAAAAACCAAUAUAUGGUAAAUGGAUCUAUGCCUCAUCAAUUAAAUAAAAGUGUGAAUCUCUUUUACACAACAGACAUUUUUUGUCAUUUUUUUGAAUCUAACUUAAAGAACAUGAAUUAUAACAAUAUAAAAAUAAAUAAAAUAUAUCAUUAUAGUUUUUUUUUAAAUAGAACAUUUUAUUUUUUAUAUUUAAAAAGUUUAGAAAAUAUAAAAAACUCAUUAUGUAAUGACAAUAUGAAUAAAAUCAUAAAAAUGUAUGAACAAAAUAGUACUAAGCAACAACUAUUAUAUAAUCAAAAAUUACAAAAACAUAUGACAACAAUUAGUAACAUAAAAAAUUAUUUUAAACUUAUUGAUUAUUAUUGUGAAGAUAUAUAUUUUCAAAAAAAUCAUAACUAUAAUAAAAUUAAUUAUUUUAUGAGUAAAAUGGACUAUUACAGAAAUGAGGAUAUGCUAAUGAAAGGAUACUAUUCUUCUGAUGACUCAAAAUUAUAUGAUAUUAUUUUUUUAACAAAUAAUCAUAAGAAACGUAUAGAAAAUAAUGUAAAUGUACACAAUCAAAAUUUAAUUAAAGAUGAUUAUUUAAAUAAACAAACAAAUAAACAAAAAAGAGGUCGUAAAUGUAAAAAAUUAAUGUAUCCUAAUGCACAAGAUUAUGAUGGCAAUAAACUUGAUAAUGCAAAUAAUAAUAGUAAACAAUUAUUUUACUGUAACCUUAGUGAAAGUAUAAAAAAAAGUACAAAAAGAGGGAGAAAAAAAAAAAGUAAAAAAAAAAUGAAUGGAGAAACAAAAACUAUUAUAAAACAAAACAAAAAAAACAAAUUUAUGGAAAAACUUAAAAAAAAUCAAAAUCAAAAUGAUAUAAUAUAUAACCAAAAUGAUAUUCCUAUGAGUUAUGUAAAAAAAGAAAGUUGUGAAAAUAUAACACAGUACAAUUUAACACAACAUAAAGAAAAUAGUAUAAGCAAUGAUAUACCGAUAAAGAAAAUGGCAAAAAGAGGGAGACCUAGAAAGAGUACUAAUACAUAUAAUAUAAAAUUUACUACUCAUCCAAUUAAUACAGAUCCAAACAUGCAAAAUAAAAAAUUUGUAACAUCUAAUAAAAAUCUUAACAAUAUACUUAUGAAAGGUAAAAAAUAUAUUGUUUGUUAUAAUUAUUUAGGAAAAGUACAAGUAAAAGUUUUUAACGGAGAUAUAUAUGGUCUGAUGACGGCUCAAAGAAAAUCCAUCAUGUUUUUACAAAAUGUUAUUAAAGAGCUUAAAAGUGAAGGGAUCAUUUUAUACAGCCAAAAUGAUAAUCAAAUUGCUACAGAUGUAACAAAAUCAUUAAUGCAAUCCUUAGAGUCAAACUCCAUACAAGAAACAAAUUUACUGCACAAUAAUAAUCAACAAACGUAUCAGAAUAUGGUGUUUAC
ensembl:lncRNA